AGGAAUUUUCUUGGUCAAAGUUUGAAAGAGAACAUAAUCUUUCUAUUUAAACACACAGGAUCUACCAACUCUGGCCGGGUAACAAUGUAAGCCUUUCUUAAUUCUUUCUCACGAUAUAUCUAUUUGACAAACAAACAAAAGGGUUUUUGUGUCCUGACACAACAUAUAUCAUGUUCGGAAAGAGAUUUGAUAUUAAACCCAUGAUGUGUUAAUGUCAAAACCAGCUUGAUGUUUCUCGUUUUUAUGUUUUAGAAAUUUUAUUGCGGAGGGAGACUAGUCUUUGGUCCAGAUGCAUCGUCGCUCCUUCUGACCAUUCACAGUUAUGAUUGGAGGUCCUGCUCUCACUUUCUGCAUCCGAAUGGCUUUUAAUUUUUAUGAUCGGGAAACGCUAUCCGUUGUUCCACUCUCUUGUAUUGUUGGGUGCACUGUUGCUCACAGUCUUGGAUUUCACAUUUCUCUUCUUAACUUCCUCGAGAGACCCCGGGAUUAUCCCUAGAAACAAAGAAGCACCUGAAGCAGAAGGGUUUGAUAUGAUCACUCAAUCCUCAGAAUGGGUGGUAAACAACAAACUAAUUGUAGUUAAUCAAUUAUACAUUUAAUACUAUAGUACCAUGAUAGUGAAAUUGUGGUUUUCUCAUACAUUAUUUACUAAUAGCUAUUUUAAAAGGAUAGGUGCUGAUUUGUUGACCAUUCAGAGCAUAGAUUAGUCGUUACCCGUUAGUAGACCACCCAUAUUUGAAUUACGACUUGGAGACAACUCAAAAGUAUAGAUUACGAUAUUCGUAAAUGCUAUCGCUUGUAAAAAAAAUCAUGGAUCAUAUAAAAUGAAUUUGUAUUCAAAUACGUAUCGGCAAAUGUUCCAAAACUUUUCAGUAUCUUACAAACUAAAUUAACCAAACCACCAAUUUAAUUUUUGAGUAUAACCAGAGGAAAUUUAAAAAAAAAAAAAAAAAAAAA